CUUGGUCAUUUAGAGGAAGUAAAAGUCGUAACAAGGUUUCCGUAGGUGAACCUGCGGAAGGAUCAUUAUUGAAUAAACCUGAUGUGAUUGUUAGCUGGCUUUUCGAAGCAUGUGCUCGUCUGUCAUCUUUAUCUCUCCACCUGUGCACAUUUUGUAGUCUUGGAUACCUCUCGAGGAAACUCGGAUUUUAGGAUCGCUGUGCUGUACAAGUCGGCUUUUCUUUCAUUUCCAAGACUAUGUUUUUAUAUACACCAAAGUAUGUUUAUAGAAUGUCAUCAAUGGGAACUUGUUUCCUAUAAAAUUAUACAACUUUCAGCAACGGAUCUCUUGGCUCUCGCAUCGAUGAAGAACGCAGCGAAAUGCGAUAAGUAAUGUGAAUUGCAGAAUUCAGUGAAUCAUCGAAUCUUUGAACGCACCUUGCGCUCCUUGGUAUUCCGAGGAGCAUGCCUGUUUGAGUGUCAUUAAAUUCUCAACCUUCCAACUUUUAUUAGCUUGGUUAGGCUUGGAUGUGGGGGUUGCGGGCUUCAAUAAUGAGGUCGGCUCUCCUUAAAUGCAUUAGUGGAACUUUUGUGGACCGUCUAUUGGUGUGAUAAUUAUCUACGCCGUGGAUGUGAAGCAGCUUUAUGAAGUUCUGCUUCUAACCGUCCAUUGACUUGGACAAUUUUUGACAAUUUGACCUCAAAUCAGGUAGGACUACCCGCUGAACUUAAGCAUAUCAAUAAGCGGAGGA
rnacentral:rRNA from 1 species